rnacentral:rRNA from 1 species
AGUGAACGCUGGCGGUAGGCCUAACACAUGCAAGUCGAACCGCAGCACAGUAAGAGCUUGCUCUUACGGGUGGCGAGUGGCGGACGGGUGAGGAAUACAUCGGAAUCUACUUUUUCGUGGGGGAUAACGUAGGGAAACUUACGCUAAUACCGCAUACGACCUACGGGUGAAAGCAGGGGAUCUUCGGACCUUGCGCGAUUGAAUGAGCCGAUGUCGGAUUAGCUAGUUGGCGGGGUAAAGGCCCACCAAGGCGACGAUCCGUAGCUGGUCUGAGAGGAUGGUCAGCCACACUGGAACUGAGACACGGUCCAGACUCCUACGGGAGGCAGCAGUGGGGAAUAUUGGACAAUGGGCGCAAGCCUGAUCCAGCCAUACCGCGUGGGUGAAGAAGGCCUUCGGGUUGUAAAGCCCUUUUGUUGGGAAAGAAAAGCAGCAGGUUAAUACCCCGCUGUUCUGACGGUACCCAAAGAAUAAGCACCGGCUAACUUCGUG